AGAGUUUGAUCCUGGCUCAGGACGAACGCUGGCGGCGUGCUUAACACAUGCAAGUCGAACGAUGAACCUGGAGCUUGCUCUAGGGAAUUAGUGGCGAACGGGUGAGUAACACGUGAGUAACCUGUCCUUGACUCUGGGAUAACCUCCGGAAACGGAAGCUAAUACCGGAUAUGACGCACGGAGGCAUCUCCUGUGCGUGGAAAGAAUUUCGGUCAAGGAUGGACUCGCGGCCUAUCAGGUAGUUGGUGAGGUAACGGCUCACCAAGCCUACGACGGGUAGCCGGCCUGAGAGGGUGACCGGCCACACUGGGACUGAGACACGGCCCAGACUCCCACGGGAGGCAGCAGUGGGGAAUAUUGCACAAUGGGCGCAAGCCUGAUGCAGCAACGCCGCGUGAGGGACGACGGCCUUCGGGUUGUAAACCUCUUUUAGUAGGGAAGAAGCGAAAGUGACGGUACCUGCAGAAAAAGCACCGGCUAACUACGUGCCAGCAGCCGCGGUAAUACGUAGGGUGCGAGCGUUGUCCGGAAUUAUUGGGCGUAAAGAGCUCGUAGGCGGUCUGUCGCGUCUGCUGUGAAAACCCGAGGCUCAACCUCGGGCCUGCAGUGGGUACGGGCAGACUAGAGUGCGGUAGGGGAGAAUGGAAUUCCUGGUGUAGCGGUGGAAUGCGCAGAUAUCAGGAGGAACACCGAUGGCGAAGGCAGUUCUCUGGGCCGUAACUGACGCUGAGGAGCGAAAGCGUGGGGAGCGAACAGGAUUAGAUACCCUGGUAGUCG
rnacentral:rRNA from 1 species